ACUCUUCAACCCACCGGUUCCUUGUUGAACCGGCUGGUGUUUGGAUUCUGAGUGUUGCUGGUCUAGCCUCUAGUGGGCCAAGGCGAAGCUCAUUCGUAAUACAUUAGCAACUCAAUUUCGAGUAUUCGGAUUGACUCGGCGUAAUAGACUAUUCGCUGAGGACACUACGCAAGUGGUGGCCGAAUUUCGAGGUAGAAGCUUCUAACUCAUCAUUUGAAGUCAAAACUUUUAAG
rnacentral:misc_RNA from 1 species